rnacentral:misc_RNA from 1 species
UUUCCGUAGGUGAACCUGCGGAAGGAUCAUUACCACGAAGUUUUUGUGCCAAACACACAAAAACAAACCACUAUACCAAAAACCAUGUGUGAAAGUAUCGAAUGAUCUUGUGGUUUUGCUUGCGGGCCUCUGUGUUUGCUUUAGCAAGACCAACUUUUUUCAACACAUUAACAACAUUUUUACUGAGAAUCUUUUGUCAGUUUUUAAGGUAAACUGAAUUUUAAACCAAUGAGAAAAAACUUUUAACGGUGGAUCUCUUGGCUCGU